rnacentral:rRNA from 1 species
CCUACGGGAGGCAGCAGUGGGGAAUCUUGCGCAAUGGGCGAAAGCCUGACGCAGCCAUGCCGCGUGAAUGAUGAAGGUCUUAGGAUUGUAAAAUUCUUUCACCGGGGACGAUAAUGACGGUACCCGGAGAAGAAGCCCCGGCUAACUUCGUGCCAGCAGCCGCGGUAAUACGAAGGGGGCUAGCGUUGCUCGGAAUUACUGGGCGUAAAGGGAGCGUAGGCGGAUAGUUUAGUCAGAGGUGAAAGCCCAGGGCUCAACCUUGGAAUUGCCUUUGAUACUGGCUAUCUUGAGUGUGGGAGAGGUAUGUGGAACUCCGAGUGUAGAGGUGAAAUUCGUAGAUAUUCGGAAGAACACCAGUGGCGAAGGCGACAUACUGGCCCAUUACUGACGCUGAGGCUCGAAAGCGUGGGGAGCAAACAGGAUUAGAUACCCUGGUAGUCCACGCUGUAAACGAUGAGUGCUAGUUGUCGGCAUGCAUGCAUGUCGGUGACGCAACUAACGCAUUAAGCACUCCGCCUGGGGAGUACGGUCGCAAGNUUAAACGUCAAAGGAAUUGACGGCUGNGAGNGCGAGGCGACGACGAGGGAGAGG